UGGAAGUAAAAAUCGUAACAAGGUCUCCGUUGGUGAACCAGCGGAGGGAUCAUUAUUAGAAGCCGAAAGGCAUCUUAAAACCAUCGCGAACUCGUCCAAGUUGCUUCGGCGGUGCGGAGCGCAUUGCCCGCGGCCUCGCCUCUCCGGAGGUGCCAGGCAGCCGCCGGAGGUACGAAACUCUGUCUCACAGCGGUAUCUCUGAGUAAAAACAAAUAAGUCAAAACUUUCAACAACGGAUCUCUUGGUUCUGGCAUCGAUGAAGAACGCAGCGAAAUGCGAUAAGUAAUGUGAAUUGCAGAAUUCAGUGAAUCAUCGAAUCUUUGAACGCACAUUGCGCCCGCUAGUACUCUAGCGGGCAUGCCCGUUCGAGCGUCAUUUCAACCCUCAAGCCCUGCUUGGUGUUGGGGCCCUACGGCUGCCGUAGGCCCUGAAAGGAAGUGGCGGGCUCGCUGCAACUCCGAGCGUAGUAACUCAUUAUCUCGCUAGGGAGGCGUGGCGGUGCUCCGGCCGUUAAAGACCAAAUCUUUAACCAAGGUGACCUCGGAUCGGGUAGGAAUACCCCCAAUC
rnacentral:rRNA from 1 species